GACGUAGGGCGCGAGCGUUGUCCGGAUUGAUUGGGCGUAAAGAGCUCGUAGGCGGCUCGGUGCGUCGGCUGUGAAAACCCGCGGCUCAACUGUGGGCCUGCAGCUGAUACGGGCGGGCUGGAGUUCGGUAGGGGAGACUGGAAUUCCUGGUGUAGCGGUGAAAUGCGCAGAGAUCAGGAAGAACACCGGUGGCGAAAGCGCUCUGCUGGGCCUUAACUGACACUGAGGCACGAAAGCUAGGGGAGCGAAUGGG
rnacentral:rRNA from 1 species